ensembl:lncRNA
AUGGAUGACAGAGAGAAAAGUUUUGAAGAUGCUGCCAGAUUAUGUUGCACAUGCCUGCUUAAAAUGUUCCUCACUGUCACACAUGCCAAAAUUCCCUCAGACUCAAGGCUGUUGCACUGGGUAAUCUUUGAAGUUACUGAUGCAUUGCAGACUUUCUGGAAGCUCAAUGAAGGUCUGGGAAGCUCUUUAUAUCCUGAAAGAACUCGAAUGCUGCUUGCACUGAGGAUCAAUGUUUUGGUCAAAGGGCUCAGCGGGGUUUCACUGGAGACGCUGCACAGCAUGAUCCAGGCCUUCAAUGGUACAUUAAUGCAUCCCUCAUUAUUUUAACUGAAGAGAGUACUGUUGGGGUUUUUGGUUCCUUUGGCAAGGCAUAUGAAACAUGGUGUGCCAUUUCAAAGAUUACUUUUAUGUUAGUUGGCUUGUCUUUGAAAUAAUUUUAGCAAAAGGUUUCUUUGAAAUUCUCCCUCAAAAGAGUUUUACCAAAGCUGAUAUUUUACCGUUUUCUUUCAUUUCUCUCACCAGCCUCUUGUUUAUCGUAUAUCCCAGAGAAGGGUACGGUGGGUGCGAGCGGAGAUCUUGCCUCAUGGGAGAAAGCAAAAUGUGGUAGCCCAAGAGCGGCUGGGUGGAUGCCAAAUACAUGAGCACAUAUUCAUUGGGUGCUUCGGUUGCAAAACUUUGUCCUAAUGAUAAUGAAAGCAAUGCAUAAACGUAUUUACUCCUCAUUUAGCCUUUAAAGUCACAUUUGACCUUUGUAUUGCCUGCAGGUUAAGAGUAAAUAGAUUAAUAAAUAAUAGAUUGAUUCACAGACCAGAUCAGUGGUUCGGUAGUAAUGUUCUGUGGUAAAAGAUAAAAGGGUUGGUUAUGUUUAUCUCUGUCUGCAGGGGUUGGCUCUGAUCAAUGGGACUCAGAUGAUCACUUCUUUGGGAGCAGAGGCUGUGGAGAGAGCCGAGGCCAUCGCCCGGCAGGCUGACAUCAUCGCUGCCUUGACCCUGGAAGUCCUUAAGGAGACCACCAAAGCCUUUGAUAGUGGUGAGCUCGUGUAAACAAGUGAUUGACGUUUUGGGUAUGAGCACCGUAUUUAGACGCUGUUCUCAGUUCUGCAGACAGAAACUGUAAACACUGCAGUAAGCUUUCAGACUUGUCAGACAAAACGUAUUUGUGUAACACUGUCACACAUAUAAAGUCACAGUACCUUGUCAGAAAUGCAGGCCUGCAUCUGUUCUCUGAGAGUUUUGGGUUAUGCGAGCACAGUCUCAUAUAAAUGCAUAUAAAUAAUACGUCAGAUAAAAACCAAAACUCAUAGUAUUGAUAUGCAAACAUGGACUUUGGCAUGUACAGUAUGAUACGCAUCUACUCCAUGGCUAUUGGUUAGCAUUACAAAGUUCAAGAGAGAAUAACUUUAACCAAAUACUAGAAGGUUUGAUUUUGACAUCGGUACUAAAGUCAUGUUAACCAUGAACUAAAACAGAUAGGUUUCUUUCUGCAGUUUCAGAGAACAAAGUGCUUUGCCAUGCCUCCUCUAUUGACUCCCUGUCCACUAGUGCAGCCACGGAGGACCACGUGUCCAUGGGAGGCUGGGCCGCACUAAAGCCCUCAGAGUGGUUGAGCACUUCAAGCAAGGUCCAAAACCUGAUAUCAGCCUACCAUUUAGCUCAAAUUGUUACUAUAAUGGUGCCCCCAUUGGAUUACCAAAGCACGAGAGCACAAAGUGUAGUAGUAUUUAAUAUUUUCCAUCAGAAUCUCAUCAUGGCAAGUCAUAACUGGUUUAUAAUAAAGUGAAUUGGUGGCAAAUUUGAUAAUCUCAUUCAUACAUUUUCAUACUACUUACUCCUACUGUGUGGUUGGGUUUAAGGGUGGACCUGCUUGCUUGCUUAUUUUAACUGAAUACAUUUUUUUUUUAAUGAACAAUCAUUUUGUGGCUAAUUUGUAUUAAUUUAUAUGAUCUUAUUCAUAUGUUUUUGGAUUCUGUUUAUCCCCAUUGUCAGUAAGGUUUAAAGGGAUAGUUCACCUUCAUUUGCUGGUCACAUUGACUUGCAUAUUUUAUUUAUUUAUUUCCCAUUCUAUGGAAGUCAAUGGGGACCAGCAACUAAAGCUGAAGCAUAGGAAUAUCUCACUGGCAAUUU